CUGAAAUGGAAGCAGCUUCAGGAGGAAGUGCAGAGAGAUGCUGCAGGUGAGAUAAAAUUUCUUUGUGACUCUUCAAUUCAUGGUUAUUAUGUCCACGUGGUUUGGGUUGGAUAUUGUUUUGAGAUAUCAGGUGAUAGUAACAAGCAUAAGUAGAAUUUCCUAGCUUUUAUUCUCUUUCUUCUUGUAGUACCUGAAUGUUGAUUGAGUUGUGCUUUAAUGGAAAUCCUUCCUUUCCUGGACUCUUUGCUCUUCAAGUGUUAGAGGAGAAGUUACAGGUGCCAUUAAGAAGGUUCCCAAUGGUGUUUCCAAGGAGGACUUGCUGCACUAAGGACAGCUGGUUCUGGUGGUCACAUCCUGGAGGAAAAUGGGGAAUAUCAGUUCCCAAUUCCCAAGGCUGGCACAGACUCCAUGUGUCACCUCAGCUGAGUCACACCAAUUUCAAAUCAGGCGUGAUACAGAAGGAAGGGAAAUAACAACACCCGUGUAAGGAAUUCCUUGAUGCUGCUGGGAACCUCCCUGGUAAACCAGCCUGCCCUGAAAUCCCCAGCAAUGAAAACUUGUUUUUUG
rnacentral:lncRNA from 1 species